GACGAACGCUGGCGGCGUGCUUAACACAUGCAAGUGGAGCGACGAACCAGGGCUUGCCCUGGGGCAAAGCCGCGAACGGGUGAGUAACACGUGGGUAACCUGCCCCGACGACUGGGACAACCCGAGGAAACUCGGGCUAAUACCGGAUAAUUUCACCACUCAUAAGUGUGGUGACUAAAGGAGGCUUCGGCUUCCGCAUCGGGAGGGGCCCGCGGCCCAUUAGCUUGUUGGUGAGGUAACGGCUCACCAAGGCGACGAUGGGUAGCUGGUCUGAGAGGACGAUCAGCCACACUGGGACUGAGACACGGCCCAGACUCCUACGGGAGGCAGCAGUGGGGAAUCUUGCGCAAUGCGCGAAAGCGUGACGCAGCAACGCCGCGUGGGGGAAGAAGGCCUUCGGGUUGUAAACCCCUUUCAGGAGGGACGAAGGUUCGGCUGCGAAUAGCAGUCCGGACUGACGGUACCUCCACAAGAAGCCCCGGCUAACUACGUGCCAGCCGCCGCCGUAACAC
rnacentral:rRNA from 1 species